rnacentral:rRNA from 1 species
UACGGAGGGUGCAAACGUUGCUCGGAAUCAUUGGGCGUAAAGCGAGUGUAGGCGGUCUGUAAAGUCGGGUGUGAAAGCCCCGGGCUCAACCCGGGAAGUGCACUCGAAACUCACAGGCUAGAGUAUCGGAGAGGUUGGUGGAAUUCUCGGUGUAGAGGUGAAAUUCGUAGAUAUCGAGAGGAACACCGGUGGCGAAGGCGGCCAACUGGACGAAUACUGACGCUGAGACUCGAAAGCGUGGGGAGCAAACAGG